rnacentral:rRNA from 1 species
CAACUUUGAGCGGUGGAUCACUCGGCUCGUGUGUCGGAUGAAGAGCGCAGCCAACUGUGUGAAUUAAUGUGAACUGCAUACUGCUUUGAACAUCGACAUCUUGAACGCACAUUGCGGCCACGGGCUAGCCUGUGGCCACGCCCGUCCGAGGGUCGGCUU